UCAUUCAGCUGGGUUUUGCUUUGUUUUUCAACAUCAUUGCUGUGGUCAUUUCUACCGCUGCUUCGAUCGUUUUGAUCGUAAUGGCUGGUGUCAUGAAUGAAUUCGCGAGUGAUUACAAGAGCCAGUGCAUCGAUAGCGGAUGUAAAUGCAAAUGCUCAUCUAUCAAACAAGACAAAGAUUAUGUCAAUGGCUACUCGAACGGCAAUACAGAAGUCGACUAUGUAGAAUGUAA